ACCUGUGUGGUGUAAUGGUGUGAGCAUUGGACUACAACUCUAGAGAUCAUGGUUCAAGUCCAGGCUUGGCUG